UGAAAAAGACAAAAUAACCUCUUAACAAUUUAUGUUAAGGAUGAAUAGCUGUGUCUAAGUGGGUGAAUUCAAGCAGAACCAGCCGGUUAUUCUGUCUAAUGAAUCGUGUCUACACUGCUUUCAUUCCCACGCUGGAACCAUCUAUACACGGCUGAUUAGCCGUCCGGAGAAGACCCAUUCUCAGAACGAGGGCGGGGAAACAAACCACUAAGAGAAAGGGCACUGACAUCGUGUGGACAAUCAGAGACUUACACCUGGUAACGAAAGAAAUGCCGCCAUCAGAGGAGAAGAGACAGCCCAUCGGAGACCUUUGACAAGUAUCAGUUCCGGUGACUGACUCACAGCCUCAGGAAGCAACCUGGCGAUAUCCUGAACAUUUGCCCCAGGAAAACACGAAGUCUUUGCCCCAGGUACAGAUAUAUGCCUCACCAUUGAACUCCCUAUCACAAUUGCGGGAAUGAUCCGGUCUCUGCCAAGUAGAUUGCGAGGCCAGAGCCACAGAACUCACCUGAGAAGAGGGCUGCUGAGAAGCCGGUUGUGAGCAGGCCACAACAGCCAAAGGAAUAGAGCUCUGAUCCAGAGAGCACGGCCCAGCUGAGGGGGGCCGCGGUGGUCCAGGCUGUGCCCAGGCAGUUGAUUGACCAGGACAGGGAGAGUUCGCUGGAGGGGCAUCCACAGCCAAGCAGGGAAAACUCAAGCCCCUGGCAGAAAACCCGCUGGUACAGGGGCUCUAAGUGGUUUGAAAGUCUUAAGUCCGGUCGCGGGGUAAGAAGGCAUGCAUCUAUUUACGCUUACCUGGAGUCGAGACAAUGAGCAGCCAUUUUCUGGUUCAAGCUAGUAGAGGGGUGCAGUGGCAGAAACUGAUCAUAGUCCAGGAAGGUCCCAUUAUGAACCUCUUGGAUGUUUUGAUAGGAAGCAUUUAAAGAGGGAUACUAAGAGCCAUUGUAAUGUAUAAAUAAGACAAUACUGGUUUAUUGAACAGUUGUAACAGCUAUGUCAUUUGAGAGAAGAUAUUUUGUGCAUUUGUGAAACAUUCUAUUUUGUACAUUUAAAAAUAUUUUACCUUUAUUUAACUCGGCAAGUCAGUUAAGAACAUAUUCUUAUUUUCAAUGACAGCCCAGGAACAUUGGGUUAACUGCCUUGUUCAGAAUAACAGAUUUUUACCUUGUCAGCUCGGGGACUCGAUCUUGCAACCACUAGGCUACCUGCCGCCCCAUGUAAAUGGUUGAUGAUUUUAUAUGAAAAUCACUCAUUACAAAUGACUUGAAGCUGAA